rnacentral:piRNA from 1 species
UUUUAUAGUUUUAAUUUGAUA